rnacentral:rRNA from 1 species
AACGCGAAGAACCUUACCUGGGCUUGAACUACGGAUGGUAAGUCCCUGGAAACAGGGGCUGACCCGCAAGGGAGUCCGCAGAGGUGCUGCAUGGUUGUCGUCAGCUCGUGUCGUGAGAUGUUGGGUUAAGUCCCGCAACGAGCGCAACCCCUAUUCGAUGUUGCUAAUCCCGCAAGGGAUGCACUCUUCGAAAACUGCCUUCGAUAAGAAGGAGGAAGGUGGGGACGACGUCAAAUCCUCAUGGCCCUUAUGUCCAGGGCUACACACGUGUUACAAUGGCCGGUACAAUGGGAAGCAAUGCCGCAAGGUGGAGCCAAACCCACAAAGCCGGCCCCAGUUCAGAUUGUGGGCUGCAACUCGCCCACAUGAAGGCGGAAUCGCUAGUAAUCGCUGAUCAGCAGGCAGCGGUGAAUACGUUCCCGGGCCUUGUACACACCGACGCAC